GAAUGUUCGAAGGAAUUCAGGCGAACUUCCCGUCAUAAUUUCCCUUUGUCGAGUAUAAUGUUGCGUCUUUCCGCCUACGGAGAAAGUCGGUCACUCGUUACCGCCACAGAGCACUUCACUUCUCUGGCGACUGUGCUGUUUUCAGCACAUCAGCAAGUCCAGUUGUUAUUGAAGAGGAUGAUCCAUUGUCUUGAGACCUGAGGGAUAGCGAGGUUCUCGCGACCGCUGUAGAUGUAUCUGUUCAAUCUAUGACGCUCGGCUCGGCGAGCGAAGAUGUUUUCGCCUAGUCUUAGAAUGUCCAUCACUGGCACAUCGCUAAUAGCACACUUAUACGCGUAUAUCUGUAGUAGUUUAACGGGUAGUCUCAGAGGUUAUGUCAAUAACUGGCAUAGCGCAAAUAGCACACUUAUACGCGUAUAUCUGUAAUAGUUUAACGGAUAGUCUCAUAGGUAAUGUCCAUAACUGGCAUAGCGCUAAUAGCACACUUAUACGCGUAUAUCCUGUAGUAGUUUAACUAGUUAACACUUUAUUCUGCUUUGCUUGUCGUUAUUUGUACUUCUUCCGCAACCAAGUCCGGGCGCGGCUUGUGUUUAGAAUACACUUAGAAGUCUAGCACAAAAAUCAUCAAGGAAUGCCUCGAGAAACUCCCGAGAAACGUUACAAGACACUACAUAACUAUGCUUAUGCGCGAUUUCGUUGUUCAACCAUGCAUGUUGGUCGGGUCAGAGCCUUCAUCAUUCACGCGAUGAGUCUCUGGACCGUGGCGCACCCACGCAUUCAGGUUGCUUACGUCUGUGCCAAGUACCUUUCUCUAUUAUUAGAGGACCUGUACUUAGAAUAAAUCAUAUGAAUGUUUCGA